rnacentral:lncRNA from 1 species
CUGGAAGAUCACACACAGCAUGAGACAGUCCCUUCCUGACAGCAGAGACAGAGAAGACAGAGUCCAGGCAGCCCUAGCAGAGCUCCAGGGACAGUUAACACCCACCCACACUGGGAUAUUUUGCACCAUUUCCCUCUGUACUUAUGCCGCCAGUAUCUCGUAUGAUUUGAACCGGCUCCCAAAGCUAAUUUAUAGCCUGCCUGCUGAUGUGGAACAUGGUUACAGCUGGUCCAUCUUUUGCGCCUGGUGCAGUUUAGGCUUUAUUGUGGCAGCUGGAGGUCUCUGCAUCGCUUAUCCGUUUAUUAGCCGGACCAAGAUUGCACAGCUAAAGUCUGGCAGAGACUCCACGGUAUGACUGUCCUCACUGGGCCUGUCCACAGUGCGAGCGACUCCUGAGGGGAACAGCGCGGAGUUCAGGAGUCCAAGCACAAAGCGGUCUUUUACAUUCCAACCUGUUGCCUGCCAGCCCUUUCUGGAUUACUGAUAGAAAAUCAUGCAAAACCUCCCAACCUUUCUAAGGACAAGACUACUGUGGAUUCAAGUGCUUUAAUGACUAUUUAUGCGUUGACUGUGAGAAUAGGGAGCAGUGCCAUGGGACAUUUCUAGGUGUAGAGAAAGAAGAAACUGCAAUGGAAAAAUUUGUAUGAUUUCCAUUUAUUUCAGAAAGUUUGUAUGUAACAAUUACCCGAGAGUCAUUUCUACUUGCAAAAGGAUUCGUAACAAAGCGAGUAUAAUUUUCUUGUCAUUGUAUCAUGCUUGUUAAAUUUUAAUGCAGCAUCUUCAGAACUUGUCCUGAUGGUGUCUUAUUGUGUCAGCACCAAAUAUUUGUGCAUUAUUUGUGGACGUUCCUUGUCACAGGAAGAUUCUUCUUCUGUUGCCUUAUUGUUUUUUUUUUUUUAAGUCUCUUCUCUGUCUUUGUACUGGAAUCGAAAUCAUAAGAUAAACAGAUCAAACGUGCUUAAGAGCUAACUCGUGACACUAUGCAGUAUUGUUUGAAGACCUGUUGUUCAACCUCUGUCUCUUUAUG